rnacentral:lncRNA from 1 species
UUUUUUUUUUUUUUUCUUUUCUUUCUUUUUUUUUUUUUUUUCAAAGCAUACCCAGAGAACAGGACAAGGAAAUUAGCCAAGGCUUACUGCUUCAGAAUAAACCUCGUGGGACAGAUUUAUUUGGGCAAGGUUGGCAAUCCAUGGGUUUCCCAUCUGUGUGUCCUAGGAAUGGUGGAGUAAACAUUGGCUCCCUGGGUUUUCUCUGGUGUGUCUAAUUUAUAGAUUUCCAGCUUGAAAAAGGGUUGAUCAUGGAAAAAGAUUCUCUGCUUUAAAAAAAAAACAGACCUUAAAUAUAAGGAUUCCAUAGUAAUAUUUAUCGAGCAGUUAUGAUGUAUUAGACACUGUGUUAUAUUAUUUAAUCUAAUCCUCCUAACAGGUUUAUGGAUUAGUAACUAUUUUUAUCCCAAUUUCACAAAGAAGGAAGCUGAGGUUUAAGCUGCUUGUAUCACUUCUCCCACUUUCUCACAGCUGGUGGAAACAGAAUUCCAACCCACACAGAUGAACCCCAGGGACCAUGUUCUUAACCACCACAUCCUGGCUGUCUUUAAUGUUAAUCCUUGUUAAUUCUCUGUUCCUUUCUCUCUCCAAGCUUCAUUAUAGGAAUUACCUCUUUGAUGCCGAAUUUUCAUUCUAUUUCCUGGGGACUGAUCUCACUUGGUGACCCUGGCACAAAGACAGCACCUGUUUGACUUAGUCAACUUUGAUUCUACAAUGUACUACCUUAAACAAGCAACUCCUAUAUAACUGUGGCCUGCCCUUUUGGGCAGGGGAGGACAAUUCUAGUGAAUUGAUUUAGUAUUCUGGUCUUCAGUAAGCAUAUUAUCAGUUAUUGAGUAUCCAUAACAAAAGAUACUUGGUAAUGGCAAAUGAUAAGGCCUAUUUAACUCCAGCUGGCUGGAGAAUUGUAACAGAAUGUGGCAGAGACUAUUUCCCAAUAGCAAUUCUCCCCUUCUUCUCUGGUAACAUAAUGUCUAAUUUUUAAUGAUAUAACUGGUUCCCCAAAUGAAGACUGCAUUUCUGAUACUUCCUUUGAGCUACAUACAGUCAUAUGAUUACCCUCUAGCCAAGGGGAUGUGAGAAGAAGCAACACAGUUUGUGGGUUAUGCUGAUAAAGCAAGAAUUAUGUUCUCCUCUUCCCCUUUUUCUCCUUCUGGAUGACUAGAAUGUGAAAGUGGGAGUGUGCUAUCUCAGACUGUUCAGAAAGAGCAGCAAUGCCAUAGGAAAUUCAGAGCAACGGGUAGAAGUUGCUGAGUCUUGAUGUGGUGUGUGUACUGCCUAUCCUCAGACUGUUACAUGAGAAAGAAGCAGUGUACAAUGCUAACUUAUUUG